AUGCGUAUUCCCAAGAAAAAUGGUGGCAUGGGGUUCAGAGACCUACACACAUUUAAUCUAGCUAUGCUUGCUAAGCAAUGUUGGAGAUUGAUAUGAAAUCCCGAAACUCUGUGUGCUCGUGUGCUACGAGGUAAGUAUUACGUUGAUGGGAAUCUAUUAAAGGCAGGUCCUAAGAAGGGAUCUUCAUUUACUUGGCAAAGCAUUGUAGCAGGUUUACAAAAUUUCAAGAGAGGGUAUAUCUGGAGAGUGGGUUCAGGAAGUCUAAUCAAUAUUUGGGAAGUUCACUGGAUCCUGGUAGCCCAUCCAGGAAGGUGA
rnacentral:rRNA from 1 species